UGGUAACAGAAAAGUGAGGAUGAUCUAACCCUACCUCACAGCCUAAAAAAAGAAUGCUAUGACUUGUUUCUGUGAGGUCCCCAAGUGGCAAGGAGAGAGUGCUCCAUGGGGAGCUAACACCUGACAUUUUGCACAGAAAGGUGUCUCCUAGAAUUACCUCACACUCUGCAUAGAUAUAGAGAUUACUGUCAUCUUCAGUGAGUUUGAGAGGGGCCUAUAAAUAGGAUCAGGUGAGGUCUGAAUAAGCAAUGAUGUGUGUCUGAUCUUCUGAUCCAGAAUGAAAUGAAAACAUAAUUAGUUAACACGGAAUGUGCUUUUAAAAUGCAGAUAUGUAAUCCUUAUCUUACUUUUGUAUGUCUCUCAUUUUUACCUUUGUUUACUGCAAAUGAUAUGUGAGGUAGCAUCCUGCCCUAUUAAGUAUGCAGAUAUGGAGAACAUUCAGUAAGAUAGCUUUUCAUUAUUUAUUUAGGCAGAACAUACAGUACUUGAAAUCUGUGGGUUGCCAUGAGGUUCCCAUGGCAACUCUUCUAUGGAUAAGAAUGCUUGACUAGGCUGGUAGACUUGCUGUUACCAUCACCAGCCAUACCAUCAUUUGAGGAUACAGUACUCUCCCCUCAUCUGUGCUGUCACUUUUCGUGGUUUCAGUUACCUUCAGUCAACCAUGGUCUGAAAAUAGCCUCUUUUUCUGUCUUCAGAUACUACUUUGAAAACAAGAUGAAAGCCAUGGAAUCUCCCGAGAAAAAUGUACAUCUUACAGACUUUCAGUGAGUUCUGGAAUACCAGGAACCAGAGCCCACACUAAUGAACAGCAGUUUCCUAACCUAAUGCGAGAGAUUUGAGAUUUCUUCUGGCUCCCAUGAUCUUCUAAUUGUCUUCUUAGCAAGACUAAACACAUCUCCAAGAAAUGUGCACUGCCAUGAAUGUCUUCCAGCUAUCUUCUAUGACAGCACUUCCCAGUGUGUUCUGUGGAAUAAUGGUACAGGGUGAUAUUCUAUGAAGAAAAAUACGGAAAGUAAUAUACUCCACAGUCCGUAUAUUAGAUCGGACUAAUAAAAAUAAAUAUGGAAAGUAAUAUAUUCCACAGUCAUAUAUUAGAUCGCCUACACAACAGCAAUUUGAUAUAGUUUAAUAGGAUUUGAAUGAAUAAAAUUAAUGCCCACAGCUACUUUCUUCUGCCGGUAAAUAUUUUUCUGCCCAUAAUCUUGCUAAACAGAAUUCAUCUGAACUUACGUUGUUGCCAACAAAUAUACGAACAAUUAUACCUAAUCAAAAACAAAAACCAAACUGAUGUUAAAGAAAAUUAAUCAUUUGCUUUGAAUAAAUCAACUAUUAAGAAAGCUUAUAUAAUUGAGCCUAACAGUGCCAAAUCAUGUCUGAGAUGAAAUGCUGCAUGAUACAUAAUCAAACAGACAUUUGCAAGAGCUGUGGGUUGGGGGAGAGUGCAAAUGUUUCCCAGCACUCCUGUAUGUCAUGGGAGCACACAAUAAAACACUUGAAAAGCUGCAAUAAUAAAAGGUUUAAAGAGCUGCAAUAAUAGGUUUUGCACACUGUAGUGGCUACUGACACUGAGAACAUUUUAGAAGUUCAUCUCUAUCAUCCAAACACUACACACCACCAUAUCUAUCUAUUACGUUUUAAUAGGAAUUCUAUACUAAUAUUUUAUCCCUUUGCAUCUGCUCUAUUUUACUAUUUGGGUCAUAUCUCUUGUUAGAAACAAUGUUUGGCCCAUCUAUCCUCAAUAUAAAUAAAAAGCUUUUACCACAUAAACAAGGUCAGUUUGUUCUGUUUGAAAGAUGGAGUAAUGGAACUAACUGUAAGAUAUGCAAUGUAAAAUUUAUUCCCAUUUCACCUUUAUAUGAGUAGAAAUGAAAGGGUACUCAACUAAAAUAUGCGUAACAAUUAGGCUUUCUGUACUAGCCUUCAAAUAAAU
rnacentral:lncRNA from 10 species